rnacentral:lncRNA from 1 species
GCAUUCUCUCCAGCAAUUCCUUGCCUGCAACGUCCGUGAUGUGUGCUCAUUUGCGGAAUACUUCAACGCCAUCUUCUGAAGGGCAAAGGAAGUUCCAGAUCAAUGAUACUGUGAUCUGAGGCAUGCUGUCUUACCGACGCGAAGACGCUUCUGAUCUGCUGUUUCUUCCGCCUCGUCACUUUCAUCAGCAUCAAUUUCAUCGUGGUCUGCUUUGUCCUCAUCCAGGAAGAAGUCAUUUCUUUUGUCUUCAAGGGUGUCUGCACGCCUCUUUUUGCCUUUACCGGCUUUCGUGAUACCCCCUCUGCUUGCUUUCUUGGGCACUGGCCGUGCCAUUUGGCCAAAC